UGAUAAAUUAAGAGCCAUUCAUCGGUUGAAAAGGGUUCGCUGGACUAAAGCAAAGUAAAGCAACCUUUUGUCAGAUUCUUUUGUUAGCCAACGACUCUACUUUCUUCCAAAAAUAUAUUUGUGUAUCUUUUCCCAAAAUGAACAUCCAAUCACAACUGUUACAAAAUACAAAACAAGCCUACAUUUUUGGAGGGGGAAAAGGGUCAUCUAGUUCGAUACUCCCUAUGGAAUUUUCAUUAAUCAAUGGAACCACUUUGCAUAUCAUAGUGUGUGAAAAGGCAACAACAGAUAUGGAAAUUGUGAAUGGGUUUGCUGACCAGUCAAUAUCCAUCGAAAGAGCGAAAUAUUUCCACCUUUAUGCAUUCAGGCAUCGCCAUCAGAAAUAAAAUAAAUAAAUGUAAACUGCCGAACAAAGUGCAACAAAAUAUAAUCAAGAUUGCCUGUCAAAAUAUCCGCCAACGGCCCGUGCAGCACGUGCCCAUGGAAAAUUCUUGAAUUUUCAUCGAUUUUUUGUUUCCCUGAACGUUAGCUUUAUUAUUAUUAUCUGUGAACUGUGAAUUUCCGUCUGCCGUGUGCAAAUUGGAUAAUAGAGCAGUAAAUUAAAUUUUCCGCCCCCCAUCCAUUGGGGGAUUGAGUGAAAAUGUGUAAUUACAGGCAGACAGGUAGCCACAAAAAAUUCCCACCCCCGCCCACAAUUGUCCUUCAGUUCGGUAUGGUAAUUAAAUUGAAUGACAUGUGGGGCUACUUGCUGAAAACCAUAUCUAAACAUAUUCUUUGAAUAUAAUAAAGAGAAUUUGCUUUAAAAAAUUAUUUUUGCUUAUAUAAGCGAUUAGUUCCAUAAGUUCUGGCUUAAAUAUAAAUUUCAUCGAAUAAUAAAAAACUUUACCCUCCACAUUUUUGAAUUAGUUAAUAUAAUUUAAACUCAUUCGGGUUUGUUAAUUCGACUAAGGAAAAUGAUGUUUAUUUCGCUAAUCGUCUGGCUUUCGGUGAAUAUUUUUUGGGGUAAAAAUAUGGAAGCCAUUUCGGCUCCUCCUGACACGCCUCCACAGGAUACCCCCUCGUGUCCACGUGGUCAACACUUUGUACCAGAUUUUGGAAAAUGUGUCAGAAUUCCGAAAAUUAUGACGGGAGGAAACAAGGGAGGUCCCAUGUCCCUCUGUCCAGACAAUUCAUGGCUUCUUCUGCAUGAUGCGUGUAUCAGUGUUUACAGAUACGUAGAGGGAAUGUUUGACUGUGAUACCGGGAAUUUGUUACUACAACAUAUUAUAAAUUGUCAGAGCAGAAAGAAACCAAAAAAAGACAACAAGAAAAAAAAUAAAUGUAAAGGAGCUAAGGAAUGGGACCCUGCGACUAAAAAAUGCGUUUCAAAAACUACUUUGGAUCCAUAUGAUGAUAUCGAUGAGUAACUAUUUCAAUCUAAUUUAAAAAUAAAAAUAGUGUCAAUAAUGGUCACUUAUUGUUUAUCAAAUGGUCUGAAAUAAAUUUUUUGUAUGAAAUCAAA